CAGCCGCCGCGGGAAUACAGAGGGUGCGAGCGUUAAUCGGAUUUACUGGGCGUAAAGCGUGCGUAGGCGGCUUCUUAAGUCGGAUGUGAAAUCCCUGAGCUUAACUUGGGAAUUGCAUUCGAUACUGGGAAGCUAGAGUAUGGGAGAGGAUGGUAGAAUUCCAGGUGUAGCGGUGAAAUGCGUAGAGAUCUGGAGGAAUACCGAUGGCGAAGGCAGCCAUCUGGCCUAAUACUGACGCUGAGGUACGAAAGCAUGGGGAGCAAACAGGAUUAGAUACCCCGGUAGUCCCUGUCUCUUAUAC
rnacentral:rRNA from 1 species